UAGGGCCAUGGAAGGAUAUCAUAUACUUAAGGGUUCAAAGAUGAAGAAAAAAAGGAGUUGUGUCUCUCCUAAAUCUCAUAAACAAAAAGGAAAUUAUGAGUGCGGAUACUAUGUAAUGUAGACAAUGCAUACUAUUGUCGAUUCACAAAUAGUAUCUGGGUGGACUGAAAUAUUUAUAGAUCGAUCACCAUUGUCGCUAGAAGACAUAAACAUCAUUAGGGAGUAAUGGGCCACAUUUUUUAUUGACCAUUACUUUAACUAGU